CAACUAUACGGCGAAACUGCGAACGGCUCAUUAUAUAAGUUAUCGUUUAUUUGAUAGCACCUUACUACUUGGGUAACCGUGGUAAUUCUAGAGCUAAUACAUGCUAAAAAUCCCGACUCCGGAAGGGAUGUGUUUAUUAGAUUCAAAACCAAUGCCCCCUGGGCUCACUGGUGAUUCAUGAUAACCGCUCGAAUCGCACGGCCUUGCGCCGGCGAUGGUUCAUUCAAAUUUCUUCCCUAUCAACUUUCGAUGUUUGGGUAGUGGCCAAACAUGGUUGCAACGGGUAACGGAGGGUUAGGGCUCGACCCCGGAGAAGGAGCCUGAGAAACGGCUACUACAUCCAAGGAAGGCAGCAGGCGCGCAAAUUACCCAAUCCCGACACGGGGAGGUAGUGACAAUAAAUACCGAUAUAGGGCUCUUUUGGGUCUUAUAAUUGGAAUGAGUACAAUUUAAAUCCCUUAACGAGGAACAAUUGGAGGGCAAGUCUGGUGCCAGCAGCCGCGGUAAUUCCAGCUCCAAUAGCGUAUAUUAAAGUUGUUGUGGUUAAAAAGCUCGUAGUUGAACCUUGGGCCUGGCUGGCCGGUCCGCCUCACCGCGUGCACUGGUCCGGCCGGGCCUUUCCCUCCGCGGAACCCCAUGCCCUUCGCUGGGCGUGGCGGGGAAACGGGACUGUUACUUUGAAAAAAUUAGAGUGCUCCAGGCAGGCCUAUGCUCGAAUACAUUAGCAUGGAAUAAUGAAAUAGGACGCGCGGUUCUAUUUUGUUGGUUUCUAGGACCGCCGUAAUGAUUGAUAGGGACAGUCGGGGGCGUCAGUAUUCAACCGUCAGAGGUGAAAUUCUUGGACCGGUUGAAGACUAACUACUGCGAAAGCAUUCGCCAAGGAUGUUUUCAUUAAUCAGGAACGAAAGCUAGGGGAUCGAAGACGAUCAGAUACCGUCGUAGUCUUAGCCAUAAACUAUGCCGACUAGGGAUCGGGCGAUGUUAUUCUUUGACUCGCUCGGCACCUUCCGAGAAAUCAAAGU
rnacentral:rRNA from 1 species